GCACGUAGUUAGCCGGUGCUUAUUCUUACGGUACCGUCAUUAGCCCAGGGUAUUAACCCAGACCGUUUCGUUCCGUACAAAAGCAGUUUACAACCCGAAGGCCUUCUUCCUGCACGCGGCAUUGCUGGAUCAGGCUUGCGCCCAUUGUCCAAAAUUCCCCA
rnacentral:rRNA from 1 species